rnacentral:rRNA from 1 species
GAAAACUCUGCAAUGGGCGAAAGCCUGACAGGGUUACUCUGAGUGAUUUCCGCUAAGGAGAUCUUUUGGCAGCUCUAAAAAUGGUGCAGAAUAAGGGGUGGGCAAGUCCGGUGUCAGCCGCCGCGGUAAUACCAGCACCCCGAGUGGUCGGGACGAUUAUUGGGCCUAAAGCAUCCGUAGCCGGUUGUGCAAGUCCUCCGUUAAAUCCAGCCGCUCAACGGAUGGGCUGCGGAGGAUACUACAGAACUAGGAGGCGGGAGAGGCAAGCGGUACUUAGUGGGUAGGGGUAAAAUCCUUUGAUCCAUUGAAGA